AUUGAACGCUGGCGGCAUGCUUUACACAUGCAAGUCGAACGGCAGCACGGGCUUCGGCCUGGUGGCGAGUGGCGAACGGGUGAGUAAUAUAUCGGAACGUACCCAGAAGUGGGGGAUAACGUAGCGAAAGUUACGCUAAUACCGCAUACGAUCUAUGGAUGAAAGCAGGGGACCGCCAGGCCUUGUGCUCCUGGAGCGGCCGACAUCUGAUUAACCAGUUGGUGAGGCAAAGGCUCACCAAGCCGACGAUCAGUAGCUGGUCUGAGAUGACGAACAGCCACACUGGAACUGAGACACGGUCCAGACUCCUACGGGAGGCAGCAGUGGGGAAUUUUGGACAAUGGGCGCAAGCCUGAUCCAGCAAUGCCGCGUGAGUGAAGAAGGCCUUCGGGUUGUAAAGCUCUUUUGUCAGGGAAGAAACGGUAGAGGCUAAUAUCCUUUGCUAAUGACGGUACCUGAAGAAUAAGCACCGGCUAACUACGUG
rnacentral:rRNA from 1 species